AUCUACAGUACAUUGCAGUAAAAGAAACUCAGGAAGAGGAAAACGGUCAAGGGAAGCACUGAAUAAGGCGAUAGAAGUUGUUUUGAAGCGAGAAACGGGAUAUACAUAUGUUGGCAGCAAACUUUUUCUUAGUCCCACAAACUACUUUGGAAUGAAAGGUAAAAAAGGUUAAAAAAGAAUGUAAAGGUACCUUUGGGUACCAGUAUUUUCGCAAAAAGAAGAAGAGGAUGAACAUAAUGGAUUAUUUACUAGACAUAGAAAUCGGGU
rnacentral:misc_RNA from 1 species